UGGUCUGGGAAGAUGUUCUACCAUGUGAGCAGGGCUCAGGGUGGCGGCAAGGGCUGGGUGGAAAGGAAGAGCAAGGCCAGGCGCCGGCGCGAGGCUCCCCUUGUCGUCCAAUAACCUGCCAGCGCCUGGCCUGGUCGCCAUCCCACUUUUCUCCGCAGAUCUCCCUAGAGCACGAAAUCCUGCUGCACCCGCGCUACUUCGGCCCCAACUUGCUCAACACGGUGAAGCAGAAGCUCUUCACCGAGGUGGAGGGGACCUGCACAGGGAAGUAUGGCUUUGUAAUUGCUGUCACCACCAUUGACAAUAUUGGUGCUGGUGUGAUCCAGCCAGGCCGAGGCUUUGUCCUUUAUCCAGUUAAGUACAAGGCCAUUGUUUUCCGGCCAUUUAAAGGGGAGGUCGUGGAUGCUGUUGUCACUCAGGUCAACAAGGUUGGACUCUUCACAGAAAUUGGGCCCAUGUCUUGCUUCAUCUCUCGACAUUCCAUCCCUUCAGAGAUGGAGUUUGAUCCUAACUCCAACCCACCAUGUUACAAGACAAUGGAUGAGGAUAUUGUGAUUCAGCAGGACGAUGAGAUCCGCUUAAAGAUUGUGGGGACCCGUGUGGACAAGAAUGACAUUUUUGCUAUUGGCUCCCUGAUGGACGAUUACUUGGGGCUUGUAAGCUGAGCCUGGUGGCCUCCUACCCUUGGUCCUACUCUAGGAAGUGUGAUUGUCACACUUAUCAUGUUGUCCAGAGGUCCAGUCUGGCUGCUGUUGUGGAGGCAAGGAAGGCAACUCAUCCCAGAAGGCAUCUGGUGCUUCUUGUAGCUUAACUACUGCCUCCUGAUUUUUCAGUAUGUGUUCUAAGUAUAAAAAGUCCUUGGUUCUCA
rnacentral:sRNA from 1 species